CUGCUGCUGCUCCAGGAAGCUGAGGUGGCCCAGGGCACUGGCCUCCGAUGAGGACAGCAGCUCGGAGGAGGAGAGAGAGACAAGGGGAGAAACGGAAGGAGAGAGGUGUUGAUAGGGUCUGGCUCUGUGUCCCCACCCAAACCUCAUCUUGUAGCUCCCAUAAUUCCCACGUGUUGUGGGAGGGAGCUGGUGGAGGAUGGUUGAAUCCUGGAGGUGCGUCUUUCCUGGGCUGUUCUCAUGAUAGUACGUGGGUUUCACAAGAUCUGAUGGUCUAAAAACUGGAGUUUCCGGACACAAGCUCUCCCUUUGCCUGCCACCAUCCAUGCAAGAUGUGACUUGCUCCUCUUUGCUUUCUGCCAUGAUUGUGAGGCCUCCCCAGCUACAUGGAACUGUAACUCCAUUAAACCUCUUUCUUUUGUAAAUUGCCCAGUCUCAGGUAUUUCUUUUUGAGACAGAGUCUCUCUCUCUUGCCCGGGCUGGAGUGCAGUGCCAUGAUCUUGGCUCAGUGCAACCUCUGCCUCCCCGGUUCAAGUGAUUCUCCUGCUUCAGCCUCCUGAGUAGCUGGGAUUACAGGUGCCCUCCACCACACCUGUCUAAUUUUUGUAUUUUUAGUAGAGAUGGGAUUUCACCAUGUUGGUCAGGCUGGUC
rnacentral:lncRNA from 10 species